GACAGCAGCAGCCGCGGUAAUACGGAGGGUGCAAGCGUUAAUCGGAAUUACUGGGCGUAAAGCGCACGCAGGCGGUCUGACAAGUCAGAUGUGAAAUCCCCGGGCUUAACCUGGGAACUGCAUUUGAAACUGUCAGGCUGGAGUCUUGUAGAGGGGGGUGGAAUUCCAGGUGUAGCGGUGAAAUGCGUAGAGAUCUGGAGGAAUACCGGUGGCGAAGGCGGCCCCCUGGACAAAGACUGACGCUCAGGUGCGAAAGCGUGGGGAGCAAACAGGAUUAGAUACCCCGGUAGUCCCUGUCUCUUAUAC
rnacentral:rRNA from 1 species